AUACGUAGGUGGCAAGCGUUGUCCGGAAUUACUGGGUGUAAAGGGAGCGCAGGCGGGCGUGCAAGUCAGCUGUGAAAUCCAUGGGCUUAACCCGUGGGCUGCAGUUGAAACUGUAUGUCUUGAGUGAAGUAGAGGUAGGCGGGAUUCCGAGUGUAGCGGUAAAAUGCGUAGAUAUUCGGAGGAACACCGGUGGCGAAGGCGGCCUACUGGGCUUUAACUGACGCUGAGGCUCGAAAGUGUGGGGAGCAAACAGGAUUAGAUACCCUGGUAGUCCACACUGUAAACGAUGAUUGCUAGGUGUGGGGGGUCUGACCCCUUCCGUGCCGCAGUUAACGCAAUAAGCAAUCCACCUGGGGAGUACGGCCGCAAGGCUAAAACUCAAAUGAAUUGACGGGG
rnacentral:rRNA from 1 species